rnacentral:rRNA from 1 species
GGCGACGGGUGAGUAACGCGUGGGUAACCUGCCUCAUACAGGGGGAUAACAGUUAGAAAUGACUGCUAACACCGCAUAAUAUAGCGAAACCGCAUGAUUUUGCUAUCAAAUAUUUAUAGGUAUGAGAUGGGCCCGCGUCUGAUUAGCUAGUUGGUGGGGUAAAAGCCUACCAAGGCGACGAUCCAGUAGCCGGCUUGAGAGAGUGACCGGCCACAUUGGGACUGAGACACGGCCCAAACUCCUACGGGAGGCAGCAGUGGGGAAUAUUGGACAAUGGGGGAAACCCUGAUCCAGCGACGCCCGCGUGAGUGAAGAAGUAUUUCGGUAUGUAAAGCUCUAUCAGCAGGGAAGAUAAUGACAGUACCUGACUAAGAAGCCCCGGCUAACUACGUGCCAGCAGCUGC